ACGAACGCUGGCGGCGUGCCUAAUACAUGCAAGUAGCACGCUGAAGGAAGGAGAUUGCUCUUUCUGGAUGAGACGCGAACGGGUGAGUAACGCGUAGGUAACCUGCCUGGUAGCGGGGGAUAACUAUUGGGAACGAUAUCUAAUACCGCAUAAAAUUGAUUAUUGCAUGAUAGUCAAUUAAAAGGUGCAACUGCACCACUACCAGAUGGACCUGCGUCGUAUUAGCUAGUUGGUGGGGUAACGGCUCACCAAGGCGACGCUACAUAGCCGACCUGAGAGGGUGAUCGGCCACACUGGGACUGAGACACGGCCCAGACUCCUACGGGAGGCAGCAGUAGGGAAUCUUCGGCAAAGGGCGGAAGUCUGACCGAGCAACGCCGCGUGAGUGAAGAAGGUUUUCGGAUCGUAAAGCUCUGUUGUAAGAGAAGAACGAGUGUGAGAGUGGAAAGUUCACACUGUGACGGUAUCUUACCAGAAAGGGACGGCUAACUACGUG
rnacentral:rRNA from 1 species